rnacentral:rRNA from 1 species
UACGGGGGGGGCAAGCGUUGUUCGGAAUUACUGGGCGUAAAGGGCUCGUAGGUGGCCAACUAAGUCAGACGUGAAAUCCCUCGGCUUAACCGGGGAACUGCGUCUGAUACUGGAUGGCUUGAGUUCGGGAGAGGGAUGCGGAAUUCCAGGUGUAGCGGUGAAAUGCGUAGAUAUCUGGAGGAACACCGGUGGCGAAGGCGGCAUCCUGGACCGACACUGACACUGAGAGACGAAAGCUAGGGGAGCAAAUGGG